AUUGAACGCUGGCGGCAUGCCUUACACAUGCAAGUCGAACGGCAGCACGGGAGCAAUCCUGGUGGCGAGUGGCGAACGGGUGAGUAAAGUAUCGGAACGUGCCCAGUCGUGGGGGAUAACGUAGCGAAAGUUACGCUAAUACCGCAUACGAUCUAUGGAUGAAAGCGGGGGAUCGCAAGACCUCGCGCGAUUGGCGCGGACGAUAUCAGAUUAGGUAGUUGGUGGGGUAAAGGCUCACCAAGCCGACGAUCUGUAGCUGGUCUGAGAGGACGACCAGCCACACUGGGACUGAGACACGGCCCAGACUCCUACGGGAGGCAGCAGUGGGGAAUUUUGGACAAUGGGCGAAAGCCUGAUCCAGCCAUGCCGCGUGCAGGAUGAAGGCCUUCGGGUUGUAAACUGCUUUUGUACGGAACGAAAAGGUUUGGCCUAAUAAGCUGAGCUCAUGACGGUACCGUAAGAAUAAGCACCGGCUAACUACGUGCCAGCCGCCGCAGUAA
rnacentral:rRNA from 1 species